CCACAAUCUCCCCUUUUGAUGAUGACAAAACUUUGAGUAUAUGUAAAGUGAAUUGCUCAAUAAACAAGGAAAUAAAAUCCAUAAAUGAAUUCAUAUGUCUGGUAAUUUAAUAUAUCUAAGCUUGAAAGGUGUGAAACAAUAAAUUUUGGAGUUAAAGCUCCCCCUUUCAUUUGGAAUUAUAUAAGCCUUCAUAUCAUGCAAUCAAUUGUUUGGCUUAUAUAUAUUUAAUGAUUUGGCUUUCUUAAAAAUUCAGAUUCUCUCCCUCAA
rnacentral:lncRNA from 1 species